GACGGGGUAGCUCAGUCGGUAGAGCAAGCGGCUCAUAAUCGCUGUGUCGCGGGUUCAAGUCCCGCUCUCGUCACCA
rnacentral:tRNA from 1 species